GCAAGAGAAGGGCAUAUUGGCAGAUAGUGUCAUCCACACUAGUCUAGCAUACGCAUACUGGAAAAUUGGAAAGGCAAAUGCUGCUUCAGAUCUGUUGGAUGAAAUGUACAGAAGAAGGCUGAUGAUUACUGUAAAAAUCUACCGGUGUUUUAAUGCUUCUUAUGCUGGUGACAAAAGCAUCUUAAAUCUUUUCUGGAAUCUUAUGGUUGGC
rnacentral:misc_RNA from 1 species